CCUCAGUCACUCAAACAACCGCGACAGAGAAGGAGACUCUGUCCCAGAUUUUGCAAGAGAAGGAUCAGCUCCAAUGAGAACAGGACAGGAUUAAGAAUGUAACCAAACUUCUAGUCACCUCCUCAAACUUUGUUUCCAUCAAAAAGAUGCCUAAACGGAGGGUUACGUGGGGUGGAAAACUGACAUCACCAGCCUUCCACCAUGCUGGAUUGUCUGAGCUAAGCUUUGCUGAGCCUUUUCUCAAAAAGAGAAAAGCUGAUAUGUAUGUCUUGACAGAGCAGAAUGAGGAUGGCGAUGAGUUAGAUUCUACCUUUGACAUGGAGAUGAAUCAGAGCAGUGUGACUGCAUAGUUUUGCAGAAAGUGAAUUUUUAACUCCAAACCAGCUGAACAAAUUGUCUGAGAAGGUGUCCCGUCUGGAGAUCCUGCUGGAAAAUGAGGCUCAGCAGAUGCAGGAGGCCAUGGAGGAAGUGGAGACUUUCGAGAGGAGGGUCGCCGAACUGGAGAUGCAGCUAGAGGAGAAGUUGCAAAUGCCCACUGAUGCACAGCUGGAAAACGAAGUUCAGCAGAACCAGGAGGCCAUGGUAAAGGUGGUUGCUGAACUGGAGAAGAUGCUAGAGGAAAAGUCUCACAUUUCCACUGAAUCACGGGAGCAGAUGAAAAGGGGAUUUGAGGAGACUAUUCAACUCUGUGAGACGUUGGUUCUGAGAAGGUCGCAGUUAACCUGGUUAAAUAAAGGUGAAAUAAAAAUAAAAUAAAAUAAAAAGAGAUGGAUGAGUUCAAUUCUCUGGAAGAGGAGAGCAAAAUAGAAUAUGAGGUAAUACAGACUGCUGCGUAGAUUGCCUAGAUAUGUCAAAAGAUAUAUAACCAACUUAUUUCAAUGUAGAAGUUAAGCAAAUUGGAAUGUACUAUGUAUGGCAUAAGACAAUUGCAAGUCCAUGAAUGUCAUAGGGACUUACUAUAAGUCAUUAAAAUGACUUGCACUUUGGAAAUGCUCCCUUGUUGGUUUGUGCUUGUAACCUUUUGUAUAACUCUUGGUCCAACAAGUGAAGCAGCUGCGACGCUCUCUGGAUGAUGCUGAGGGGCUGAGCACUAAGAAGGAGUGGGCCCACCUGCACAGUGAAAAGAUCUCACUCAAAGAGAGGGAUGCAUGUGUCUUCUUCCUCAGUGUCAGUUUGCAGCCUGUAUUUAAAUGCAAACUGCACUCAAUGGAUUGACAAUUAUCAUGUUGUAUUGGCCUUAAUUCUGUGCUCUGGCCUUGCUUUCAGGUCACACUAACUGCUGGCUAUGAGAGGAUGGAAGCUGAGGUGAAUGGCCUUCACUAUCAGUUUGAGACAGAGAAAUCUUGCUUCAAAAAGAUGCAGGUUGACCUUCAGAGGGAGUUACAGGGAGCCUUUGAAGAGAACACCAAGCUUACUACUCUCCUGGAUGAAAAAGUUUCCAAAAAUCUCAUAGACCGCAUUGAACUUGAAAAAAGUUGCUGGCCUGAAGAAAGAGCUGGAGAAGUCUCAUGAAGAUGAGAGAACCCUACAAGCUAAGAUCGAGGAUUUGCGUGCACUGCAGGAUCUUCCAGAUAAAGUGGACAGUUUGAUGAAGCAGGUAUGUGAUCUCAAUGAGGAGCUGUGUGCAGUCCAAAUAGAGAGAGAGAGCCUGGUGUCUGCUAAGGCCUGCAGUAAGGAGGAAGCUCAACAACUCAGAGAAAAUGUCCAGAGUGCCCAGGAGCAGCUAGUCAAACUGCAAGAUGACCUGAGCAAAGCAGAGUUGAGGGAAAAAGACCUAACCCAUCAGUGCACCAACAUCACUGAACAAAAGGAGACUCUCCGUAAGGACUUGGUGCGCUCCUCUGUGGAGAACAGUCGGCUUCUUACUACUGUGGAAUAGUCCAGCCUGAGACUGAAGGAGAUUGAUGAUCGUCGGGCAUUAAUUGAAUAUAAAUUGUGUGGAAUGCAACAAGUCAUGAAAGACUUGAAGGAGAAGCUUGCUAACAGUGAAUCAUCCAAGGAACAAAAUGACAAUCUGUCCCAAGAACACCAAGAUCAGAUAAGGCAGCUGAGUGAGGAGCUUGAGUCUGUGUGAGCUGAGCGAGAGAGUCUCCUGUCUGAGAAGACAGACAGUUCUCAGAAUCAUGCAGGGGAGUUGGAGAAUCUGCUCUCUACUGUGACCUCACUGACUGAAGAGAGAGACCAGCUCCAGGAGAUACUGUGGGGAGUCAGAGAUGAGAGGAACCAGCUCAAGAGAGACCUGGGGGAGAAUGUGGAGAUGAUUAUUGAAAACCAGGAGGAGCUAAGGGUGGCCCUUGAAAAGAUUCACCAUCAAGAGGAAAAUAUAAAACAUAUGGAUAUGCCCAUCUAGUUGAACUGCAAAGUCAGAUGAAGCAGCUGAAUGAGGAGCUUGAGUCGGUGCGAGCUGAGCGAGAGAGUCUCCUGUCUGAGAAGACAGACAGCCCUCAGAAUCAUGCAGAGGAGUUGGAGAAUCUGCUCUCUACUGUGACCUCACUGACUGAAGAGAGAGACCAGCUCCAGGAGAUACUGUGGGGAGUCAGAGAAGAGAGGAACCAGCUCAAAAGAGACCUGGAGGAGAAUGUGGAGAUGUCCAUCAAAGUCCAGGAGGAGCUGAAACAGCAGCAACAUCUCAACUCUAAACAGCAGGCUGAGACAGAACAAGAAACAGCCCAACUUCAGCAACAAAUACAGCAGCUAGAGGAGGAACACGCACACAUGAAAGAUGAGAGCCCAGCUUCAAAGAGAGCUUCAAAGAGACCUGCAGGAAAAUAUGGAGAUGGUCAUACAGGUCCAGAGGAUAUUAGAACAGCAGCAACAUCUGAACACAGAACAGCAGGCUGAGAGAGAACAACACAAGGCCCUACUUAAACAACAAGUCCAGCAUCUUGAAGAGCAGUUGGAGACAGUGAAAGAUGAUAGGAGCCUGGUCAAGAGCAGCCUUCAGGACAAUAUGGACAUGAUGAAGCAGCUGAAAGAAGAAUUGCAAGGUUUCAAAGAAGGACAGUCUCAUUUCGAAGUCGAAGCAGAAACCUCACAAGAUGCUUAGUGAUGCGAAUGUGACCAUCUCCAUAUUGACAGAUCAGAUCAAUAACCUGGAGCAGAGCACUAACUGUGGUACCACCAGUGCAGCAGAGGGAAUGUGCUCCAGACUGGCGGCUUCUACUCAGCAGCUCCAGGCGUCCUUCGUAAGGCUCCAGCUUGUUAUCAAUGGUGCUUCAAAGCCUGGACAUGGGCCCCUGGUCGAAGUUGAAGUAGUAAUGAUACUAAAACUGUUGCCCCUUCUUCCAAAACCCACAAAAAAGAUCUGUAGCAAUGUCAAUAGAUCUACAGUCCAGAUAACUAAUGCGGGUUGGGAUACAAAGGUAUGAAUAAUCACACGGUCAUAAUAGUUUCUAUUUAAUUUUGAACUGCGAUAGUAAACGCAGUUUGCUAAAUUGAGUCAAAACAUUUUCGGUGCUGCUGAAGCUGUUUGCCAAGGAUUACAAAACCCACUUUGAAGCCCUGGUCCAGAAUGACUUGGCUGUAUUUGAGGAGAGGAGACUGCAGGACCUGCUCCUCUGUAGAGCCCAGGCACUCAGUCAAGGUGGCUGAGAACGACUUCCUUGGAGUCUGGGACCAGAGACUGUCAGAGCUGCAUACUGUAUGUUGUGAAACUAAUCGUUUUAUAUCAUGGGUUAUCAGAAAAUGAAUAGUGUUUUGGUGAAGCUUGAGGAGCGCCUGGCCACUCACCCAGCAGCGUUGUCAGAGGAGCUGAGGGCGCGAGAGAAGAGCAACGAGGAGCUGAGUGCUCUAAGCAUGGUCCACUCACCUGACUCGUCAGCUGUGGAGAGCUUCCUGGAGCGAGCUGGCCCGGCGCUCUGCCGUGGCACAGGCCAACACACAGGCUCUCCAGGGAUUGCGAGAUGAGCGCCGCGGUCUGCUAAAAGAGCUAGGCGUGGUCCGAGCACAGGCUAACAGUCAGCUGAAAGAAGAGAGGCGUAAGACCUUUACUUUGCUGCAGAUACUGAAGAAUGCCCCAGUCAAGACUGAAGCUGAUCUGCUGAGGGACAACCAGCAACUUGCCCUGCAUUGUCAGCAGUUGGAGAGCGAAAUCAAGGAAAUGCAGAUGAGAGUUGAGCAGCUGGAAGAGCACCAGAUCAAAGCUACUAAUAGGGUCUCGAACCACAAACAAGCCACCCAGCUCCUACAAACUGAGCUUCAGGAUGCUUGUGCACAAGUCAAGGAUAGGGAGGGCUCCAUCCAAAUCCUCAAUGAGAAACUCAGAGAGACUGACGUAAAGGUUGGAGCAAGGUUCUGGCCAAGAACAGAGCAUCACCUAGUGCUCUUGAGCUUGAAAAGCUGAAGGCUAAAGUUGUGAAAAUGGAGAUGGAGAUGACUGCAUCGUCCUCUAAACACCAAGAAGAGUUACUGAGUAUGACCACGGUCCUGAACCACAAGGAGGACACUGAGGACACUGAAGGAGACUGAGAAGAUCACAGCAGGAGGGAGAACAGUCAUUCAUGGGGGGAGAGGAUCUGCAUGCCAGACUGACAACCGCCAGAGGACGUACGGUCCAAAGCAACAUUCUCGUUGAAAAUAACAAACUUGAGGAGGAAGUGAAACGGCUACAGAGGAUAAUUUCUGAAUUGGAGAGCUUUGUGUCCACUCAGCAAGGAGAGAUCACCAAGUGGAAGGCUAGAGCAGUUAAGCUGAAGGAGAAGAGGGACGUGGUAGAAACGCCUCUAUCUCCAUGUACUUCUACAAAACGAAGCAUUCCCAUGAGUUCUGAGGACGUCAACUCUCCCAUGAAGUUCCUUCACUCUCCCAUGAAGUUCCUCGACUCGCCCAAGAGCAAGUUUUUUUAUGUCCAUCCAGGCUCUGAAUCAAUGUCGAUUAAUUGUCCCAAGCAGUUUUUUGAUAACUCCAACCUUGGAACCAUUCAAGAUGCAACUGUAGAUAAAAGGGAGGAAUGGUGGCCUCUGUCACCAAAGCAAGCUGAUUUAUGCAAACAACAAUAAAUUAUUUAC